CUAAGAAUUUAACCCUUCAACUUUUGAAUUUAAAAAUUUACUUUUAAAUUAUAUAUAAUCACGUAACAUUUUAAUUGAAAAUUUAAUGAUAUCAAUAAUUUGAGCUAAUUAAUAAUACUAUAAAAAUAUAGAAAUCAAUUUAUAUUAAAAAUUUAAAAAUAAUAAUUAAAUUUCAAAUUUAAGUAUAAAAGGCACAAAAAUUAAAAUUAACCAUUUUUAUAGUGAAAAAAGAAAAAAA
rnacentral:lncRNA from 1 species